rnacentral:lncRNA from 1 species
AAUAUUCAGUAGAAAACCCAAAAACUUACAUAAAAAUCACUAUGAAGCUUUAGUUCAAAAAUAAAGACACCGCCUCUGUUUUCUUUUCUCAAACGAAAAGAGAUAAUUGAGAGCCGGACAAUAAGAAAAGAGUAAGCAACGUUUUCCACCCAAAGAACAUUUUGUUUUCAUCGUCAUUCUCAUGUUUAACUCUUCAUUGUAUGAAGGCAAUGAUAGCUCAUGUUUUUCAACCAUAGAUCAGCUUUAAAACCUCACUGUUUUGUCACCAAAACACUACCAAAAACUCCUCCAAAGCAGCCACAAAAAUCUGUUGUGAAACAGCCCAAAUCAGUCACCAAACAGCCCCAAAGACAGCAUAAAACCACCACAAAAAUCGACUGAAAAACUGUCCAAAAACCAGCGCCAAACAGAUCUGAAAAUCUGUUUAGAAACCAUUUAAAAAUUAGCCCGAAUAGUAAAAACAAAUCAGCCGAGCUCCACCUAAACUGAAGGUCUUUGUUGUUCAGAUCUGGACGUGAAAAAAGGACGAGGUCGAUGUCUUUACGGCAAGAUUUCUAGGCGAGGUUCCGGUCCCGGUUCACGCGAGCUUCGUUGUAUGGUUUUGGUCAUGGAGAUACUGUGUAUUGACUUCAUAAAUUAAAGAAAAAUCUGCUGUCAAAGGUCUCUUCUCUUACCCCUUUAUUUUAUUAGUUGCGUGUAAGUAUUUAUAGAUUUAAAAGUGACACCAACUUCUUGUUCUGUUAUUUUGCGUAUAUGUUUUGAUAGAUGAUAUUCCACUGUUUUUGGGCUAAAAAUGGAAUUCAACAGUUUGUCUUUUUAGGGGUUCAUUUCAGGAUGUGUUGUGAAAAUCGUAUGUAGUUUUUGUUGGGAAUUAAGUUGUUUUCCUUGGGGGGGGGGGGGGCAUGGAGGGGCAUUAAAAUUGAUAAAGAAUUUAAAAGAAUUUGAGGCCCUUUCUACAUAGGGAACAAAAUAAUAAAACUGUGAGUUAGCACUUUUUUCGUAAUAAACCCACAAGAAUAGUUAGAACAACUUCACUUCUUCCACAAUUUCAUAUCCAUAAAUCAUGGCUCACAAUAAUCUUAAACUAGUUUAGGAAAGUAAUUCAUAAAUAUGUUAGAAAUCCUUUAGAUACGCUCUUAAUUAAUUAAAUUAUCGUGAUUAUGUAUACGUUCGCGCGACAUAAUUACGAUUUUCAAACUUAAAACCAAGGUAUGCAUUCACGCAACUUUAAAAAAAAUAAUCUUAAUAAACUGUUAUUAAUUGAGUACACAUACGCGUGACGUGAUUUGAACACACCAAAUAAAAUGACUACACAUACAUGUGAUUCAUUUCAAGAUAAUUUCAUAAUUAUAAUAAAAAAAGUAAUUUAAAAGCAGUAUAAGGUAAAAUGUACGUAGGUUUUAAAAUAUGUAAUAAUCAGAUAAUUAAGCCAAGUAUGAUUGUUAAGCGACCGUGCUAGAACCACGGAAUUCGGGAGUGCCUAAUACCUUCUCUCGGGUUAACAAAAUUCUUUACUCGGUCUUCUGUAUUUCGCAGACUUAAACAAAGUAAAAUUUUCUUGUAUUUUGUUUGCAUUACUUCCUUGGCAUUCUUAUUAUGUGUUUUCUUCCGUGAUAUCUUAAUCACCUUAGUUCUGUGUAACUAUUCUUUUUAUAUUUCUUCAUUGGAUCACUUCCAUUAUUUUUUCAUUAUCAUACUGUCAUAUACCUGUUCAACUUUCUUAUUUAUUCCAGUAGGGUCUUGACCUAACCUCGUCACUACUCUAUCGAGGUUAGGCUUGAUACUUACUAGAUAUCGUUGUGAUGUACUCAUGCUACGCUUCUGCAAAUCUUUUUGUGUCGAUCCGGGUACUUUAUACAAGCCUAGGCACCAGUGAGUCGAUCUUAGAUCGAAGACUUCAAGGUAUACGUGCCGGCAUCCACGGGUCUCGGAGUCGCCCUCUGUCUAGUUCUAUUUUAUUUUUCUUUUUAUAGAUAUUUGUUGUAUAUGGAUGUUCAUUAUACUCUUGUAGAGCUUGUGACUUGGUAUUACCAGAUUUUGGGAGUUAUAUUCAGUUGAGUUGCGGAGACUUUUUAUGAUAGCUAUUGGUUAAAUUGAAUGUUUUAUUACUUUUCCAGUUAACUUCUGCAUGUAUGCAAGGCUUACCUAGUCUUAGAGACUAUGUGCCAUCACGACAUCCUACGGAGGGAAUGUGGGGUCGUGACUAGUGCAAGGUUUCUGGGAUUGAUAGGUCUGGAGUUUGAGAGAAUUGAGAGAGGAUAGGGAAAGGGGGCGGUUGGAUAGCAGGGUAAUGAUUUUAGGGUUUGGGUAGGUUUAGGCCGUCUCUGAGGUUAAAGUUGAGGGAAGAGAUAUGGGCCGUUGGAUCAUUAGAUCAACGACCCUGAUAAUUCAGGCUUUAACAAUUAAAAUGAGAAGAUAUAUGGGCUGUUAGAUCUCCGUACUUCGACGGUUGGGAUUGUAUCGGAGAAAUACGUUUAAAAUUAAUUAAAAAAAGAGAUAAAAUGUGGAUCGUUGAUCAAGUAGACGGACUGCUCAGAUUAAAUGUGUUUCUUGUUUGAGUGAUAGAGACGGUGAUGUGCGCACCGCUAUUGGCUCACAAGGAGUGGCAUGGAUUGCCAACUUGGUUUGGAGGGGUUGUUUGGACUAGGUCAGAUUCAUUUGGGCUUGGCAUUUAGGGUGAAAAUAAUUUAAAUAGUAGCCACUUUGUAAUUAAUUAAGAAAUUAAAAUUGUAGCUUUUUAGUCUUUAACCCUUUUGAAAUUAAUUAAAAUAAACUUAAUUACUUUCAAUAAAAUAUAGUAGAAAUUAUAAUUAUCAAAUAUAUUACUAAUUACUGUAAUUAAUUAAUUAUUUAUAAAAAUGCUUACUUUCCAAAUUAUGACAUUAAUUUUAAAUUAUGACAUUAAUUUUGAAUUAUUAAAAUAGUAGACUAAUUAACAAAAAAUUAAGGAAUAACUUUUUAAAUGAAUUAUAAAACCUAUAUAGUGCAUAUAAAGGUUACUCUAAUGAUCUUAAAAUAGUAAGCAUGAUAUAUUUUGUAAUUAUAUCAUACUAAAUUAUUAAUUUCAACACUAAUAAUUGCUAAAUUAUUUUUUGCAAAAAUAGGUAUUAUUGAUUAAAAAUAUUUUCAAUAUACUUAUUGCAAAUCUGUAACGACCCGGCCGGUCGUUUUGAGUGUAUUAUCCCCGAUCCCCUAUUUACUAUUUUUUUUGUAUCUGUUUCUUCUUAUGUGACUUGCCGGGAGGUCUUAUUUUUGGUUUCAGAGCAUUUUGGGACACUUAGUCCUUAAAACGGAAGCUUAAGUCUCAGGAUUUUGACUGUAGUCGGAAGUGUGUGAACACGACUCUGUAAUGGAGUUUUAUCGGUUCCUUAGCUCCGUUGGGUGAUUUUGGACUUAUGAGCGUGUCUGGACUGUGAAUUUGAGGUAUGUUGCUAAUUUAAGCUUGAAAUAGCGAAAGUCGGAUUUUUGGGAAGUUUGACCGGGGGGUUAACAUUUUGAUAUCGGGGUGGGAUUGGAAUUUUGAAAGUUGGAGUAGGUUCGUGGUGUCAUUUAUGACUUGUGUGCAAAAUGUAUGGUCAAUCAGACGUGACUUGAUAGGUUUUGGCGUCGUUUGUAGAAUUUGGAAAUUUCAAAGUUCAUUAGGCUUGAAUCUGUGUGUAAUUCGUAUUUUGGGUGUUGUUCGAAGUGAUUAGAGGAUUUGACUAAGUUCAUAGUGGGUUAUUAGAGUUGUUGGUAUGUUUGGUUGAGGUCCAGGGGACCUCGGAUCGAUUUCGGGUGGUUAACGGAUCAAAGUUUGAUGUUGAAGGAUAGUCGAAGUGUUGUUCCUGCUGGUGUAAUCGCACCUGCAAGUGGGGAACCGUAGGUGCGGAAAUGCAGAAGCAAAGAUGAGGCCGCAAAUGCGGGCAAGACCAGGAAGGGAAGGGGGCGCAGGUGCGAGAAAGGACGCGCAUCUGCGAGUCCGCAAAUGCGAGGAUGGGCCGCAAAUGCGAAAAAGGAAAAGUUUUGCAUUUCUGCAAAAGCGUACGAAGGGCCGCAGGAGCGACUCCGCAGGUGCGAGAUCUUGAUUCGAGGGGAUUAUUGAGGUAAGCUUCUUGUACUCGUUUUUUAUCAUAAAUCUUGAUUCCCUACUGAUUUCCCCACCUAAUUAGCGAGAUUUUGAAGUGAAUAUUGGGGGUUUAGGGCUUGAGAAUUGGAGAGUAGAUUUUGGGGAUUUGGAGGACCAAAUGAUAUCGGAUUUUGAUGAAUUUAGUAUGGUUAGCCUCGUGAGUGAAUGAGCUUUCAGGUUUUGUGACUUUUAUCGGAUUUCGAUAUGUGAGCCCGAGGGUCGGGUUUGAGCCGAUUUCGGAUUUUGGCUUAUAAUUUUGUAUUUUUCUUGUGGAAUUGAUUCUUUUAGCCUAUAUUAAUUAUAUAGUACUACUUAUGGCUAGAUUCGGAGCGUUUGGAGAUUGAUUCGAGGGGCAAAGGCAUUGCGGAGAAGGAUUUUGCAUGGUUCGAGGUAAGUAACAAUUUUAAAUCUGGUCCUGAGGGUAUGAAACCCCGGAUUAUUGGAUUCUGUGAGUAUUUUGGAGGUGACGCACAUGCUAGAUGACGGGCGUGUGGGCGUGCACCGUAGGAAUUAGGAAUUAGUCCAUUCCGUGAAACUGUAAAGUUGAAUAACUUGUUGCUAGCUAUAUGCUCUCCCUGUGUUAUAGAAAUUUGGAUGCAAAUCAUGUUAGAAAUCAUACUUAGGCUAUGUGAUGGUACUUUUGGGACCCGCAGAGGUCGCGUACUUGUUGAAUUACUUGCUGAUUGCGGUCUUGUACUCAGUCAUGGUUUUACUUGUGUAUCAUAUCUCAACCUCUUCUUGAUUCUUGUUGAUACACUAUGUUAUCUUUGUUUGGGCCGAUCUUUGUGAUUUCCGAGAGCCCGAGAGAUUAGAGAGUUUGAUGACUGAGUGAGGCCAAGGGCCUGUCUGUGAGGUAUAGAUACUAUAGCAUGUGAGUUGUCCGUGCAACAUGUGAGUUGUCUGUGCAGCACAUGAGUUGUCCGUGUGGUUCCACAUAUUGAUACUAUGGCACGUGAGUUAUCCGUGCAGCACGUGAGUUGUCCAUGCAACGCGUGAGUUGUCUGUGUGGAUAUAGCGCUUGGGUUGAAAGGAGCCCUUUCAGAGUUUGCACACCCUCAGUGAGCGCAGGUACCUACUGAGUGUGAGUACUGAGGGCUGAGAGCCUAGUGAUUGAGCUAUUGUGACGAGUUGAGUGAUUAUUGCCCUGAGAGGUUGUACUUUCUUUUUCAUUUGUUGAUGCACUUAGUUGCUAUCUGUCAUUGUCGUGAAAUUUCUGAAAGAUUAUGUAUCCGGAUUUACAUGCACUGUAACUAUAUAAAACUGAUUUGAUUUGAACUGCCGGAUUUUAAAGCAUAUUUAUUCCUUGCUGGAAUUAUUGAAAAUGAAUUGUAUUUGUAUAGCUCGUCACUACCUUCUCGGUUCCUUAUUUAUUUCUGUUACUUAUUGAUUUGGUUGUAUUCAUGCUACACCCUGCACUUCAUGUGCAGAUCCAGGUGUGUUUGAUCACGGAGGUCGUUGAGUUCGUGCGCGAUCGAGUACCGGAGACUACGAGGUAGUUGCCGGCAUCCGCAGACCUUGUCUCUCCUUCUAUGUUUUCUUUUUUUCAUGUAUUGAUACUUAGACAUUGUUUUUAUUAGACUAGAUAUCUAGAUGCUCAUGACUUGGUGACACCCCGAUGUUUGGGGCUAUCUUUCCGCAUUUUAUUUUGAAUUCAACUCUAGUUUUGUAAACAUUUCUAGUAUGAAAAAGCUUUGAAUUAUCCUUUUUAUGAAAUAUUGAAGUAUUUUGAAAGGUCGGCUUGCCUAGUACCAUCGAUAGGUGCCAUCACGACACGUUAGAGUGUUGGGUUGUGACAAGUUAGUAUCAGAGCCUAGGAUACAUAGGUCUCACGAGUCAUGAGCAGGGUUAGUAGAGUCUUGCGGAUCGGUAUGGAGACGUUUGUACUUAUCUUCAAGAGGCUGCAUAACCCUUAGGAAAAAAACAUCACAUUCUUGAAUUCUUGUCCUGCGAAUCUGUUGAUUCUGGUGACUAAAUUUCUGUUGUUCUAAUUCUCUCACAGAUGGUGAGGACGCGUACUACGGGGCAGGAUGGACAUCCACCAAUACCACCAACCAGGGCCACGAGAGACCGAGGUCGCAGUAGAGGCCACUGUAAGGGAAAAGGUGCGGCCCGCACAGCAGCUGGGGCAUUACCUGCAGACCCACCAGUUGCCCCAGUUCAGGAACAAGCUCCAGUUGUGGAUGAGCAUGUGGGACCAGCUCAGGCACCACCCAUGCCCAUUGUGAUUCCAGGCCUUCAGGAGGCCUUAGCUUAGAUUUUGACCGCGUGUACCAGUCUUGCUCAGGCGGUCUGUGUUCCGGACGCAACAGCCACUUCUCAGGUCGGGAGAGGUGCUCAGACUCCCGACGCCCACACACCAUAGGAGGUGGUACAGGGAUUCCAGACACCGGGGGCACCAUCAGCCUAGCCGGUUGUCACUCCUCAGGAUUAUGUUGUUCCUGCUAUGCCUAAGGAUGAGCAGCGUAGAUUGGAGAGGUUUGGGAGGCUCCAGCCUCCAUCUUUCAGUGGUGCAAAGGGAGAGGAUGCACAGGGUUUCUUGGACAGGUGUCAGAGGAUACUCCGUACGACAGGUAUUCUGGAGAUCAGUGGGGUCUCGUUCACUGCCUUUCAGUUCUCUAGGGCUGCAUUUUGUUGGUGGGAGGCUUAAAAGAGGCAUAGGUCGGUCGGCGCAUCACCCCUUACCUGGCAGCAGUUCUCCGUUCUCUUUCUGGAGAAGUUCGUGCCUUAGUCUCGCAAAGAGGAGCUGCGCAGACAGUUUGAGCAGCUUCGUCAGGGUGAUAUGUCUGUGACGCAGUAUGAGAUGAUAUUUUCAGAGUUGGCUCGUCAUGCUAUCUGGUUGGUUCCCACAGACAGGGAGAUGAUCAGGAGGUUCAUAGAUGGCCUCACUUUUUAGCUGCGAUUGCUUAUGAUUGAGAAAGAGAGUCUGGUGCUACUUUUGAUGAGGUUGUCGAUAUUGACUGUCAGAUUGAGAUGGUUCACAGCCAGGAGCGGGUCGAGAGGGAGGCCAAGAGAACUCGUGGCCAGGGUGGCUUCAGCGGUGUUCCAUCUGGGGGCAAUUCCACCACGGUAGGGGUUGUCCUUUCAGACAUGCUCAGAUGGCUCGCCCGGUUCACCAUGGUGCAUCAUCUGGCUAUGGUUCACACAACUAUCAGUAGGGUCAGUCUUUAUUUAGUGCACUACCAGUGCAGAGUUCUCACCCUGCUUUGUCAGCUCAUGUAUCUACGGGUAGUUCUUCGGGGCAUCAGGAGCAGCAGUUCUGUCAGAGGAGGGGUUGUUUCGAGUGCGGAGAUUUUGGUCACAUUAAGAGAGAUUGCCCUAGGUUGUUGAGUGGGGCUCCACAACAGAGUACUCGGCCGAUGGCACCAGCACCAGCAGCUCCACCACCCGCCCAGCCAGCUAGGGGUAGGGUUCAGUCAGCUAGAGGUUGCCCUAGAGGGGGAGGCCGAUCAGGGGGCGGCCAGGCCCGUUUCUAUGCUAUUCCUGCCAGACCAGAUGCCAUUACUUCAGAUGCUGUUAUUACAGGUAUUGUCUCAGUUUGCCACAGAGAUGCCUCUGUAUUAUUUGACCCUGGUUCCACUUAUUCAUAUGUGUCUUCGUAUUUCGCUCAUUUUUUGGAUAUGCCCCGUGAGUCCCUUGCUUCAUCAGUUCUUGUAUCAACUCCAGUAGGCGAUAAUAUCAUUUUGGACCGUGUAUAUCGGUCAUGUGUGGUGACUAUUGGGAGUCUGGAGACUUGAGUGGACCUCCUGUUGCUUAGUAUGGUCGAUUUUGAUGUGAUUUUAGGUAUGGAUUGAUUGUCUCCAUGUCAUGUUGUUCUUGAUUGUCACGCUAAGACCGUGAUAUUGGUGAUGCCAGGGUUGCCGAGCGUUGAGUGGAGCGGCUCUAUAGACUAUGUUCCCAGUAGAAUGAUUUCAUACUUGAAAGCUCGGCGGAUGGUUGAGAAAGGUUGUCUAUAUUAUCUGGCCUUUGUGAGGGAUGUUAGUGCAGAGGCCCCUACUAUUGAUUCUGUUCCGAUGGUGCAAGAUUUCCCGGAUAUGUUUCCUGUAGACUUUCCAGGCAUACCGCCUGACAGGGAUAUUGAUUUCGGUAUUGAUUUGGUGCCGGGCACUCAGCCCAUUUCUAUUCCUCCAUAUCGUAUUGCACCGGCGGAGUUGAAGGAAUUGAAGGAGCAGCUUCAAGAACUCCUUGAUAAGGGGUUUAUUUGGCCUAGAGUGUCACCUUGGGGUGCACCAGUUAUAUUUGUAAUGAAGAAUGAUGUACUAUGACAAUGUGCAUUGAUUACAGAUAGUUGAACAAGGUCACAAUCAAGAACAAGUAUCCAUUGUUGCGUAUUGAUGAUUUGUUUGACCAGCCUCAGGGAGCGAGGGUGUUCUCCAAGAUUGUUUGAGGUCAGGGUAUCACCAGCUGAAGAUUUGGGACUCAGAUAUUCUUAAGACAGCUUUCAGGACCCGAUAUGGCCAUUAUGAGUUCCUUGUGAUGUCUUUUGGGCUGACCAAUGCCCCAGCAACGUUCAUGCAUUUGUUUUUCAGUGUGUUUCAAACUUAUCAUGACCCGUUCGUUAUUGUAUUCAUUGAUGACAUCCCGGUGUACUCUCGCAGCCAGAAGGAGCAUUCUCAGCAUCUGAGGAUUAAGUUACAACGAUUGAGGGAGGAGAAUCUUUAUGCAAAUUUCUCUAAGUGUGAGUUUUGGCUCAGUACAGUGGUGAUAUUGGGACACGUGGUGUCCAAUGCGAGUAUUCAGGUAGACCCGAAGAAGAUAGAGGCAGUUCAGAGUUGGCCCAGACUGUCCUUAGCCAUGGAGAUUCGGAGUUUUCUCGGUUUGGCUGGUUAUUACCGCCUUUUCAUGGAGGGCUUCUCAUCUAUUGCAUCGCCCUUGACUAAAUUGACCCAAAAGGGUUCUCCUUUCAAGUGGUUCGGGGAGUGCGGGGAGAGCUUUCAGAAGCUCAAGACUGCUUUGACCACGGCUCUAGUUCUAGUCCUACCAUCAGCUUUUGGUUCUUACACAGUGUAUUGUGAUUCCUCGCAGAUCGGUAUUAGGUGUGUUCUGAUGCAGGAGGAUAGAGUGAUUGCUUAUGCUUCGUGCAAGUUGAAGCCUCAUGAGAAGAACUAUCAUGUCCACGACCUUGAGUUAGCAGCUAUUAUUCACGCCUUGAAGAUUUGGCGGCACUAUUUGUACGGGGUUCAUUGUGAGAUUUACACUGAUCAUCGGAGUUUGCAGCAUCUGUUCAAACAAAAGGAUCUUAACUUGCGUUAGCAGAGGUGGUUGGAGCUUCUUAAGGACUAUGAUAUCACCAUUUUAUACCAUCCCGGGAAGGCCAAUGUGGUGACCGAUGCCUUGAGUCAUCGGGCGAAGAGUUUGGGGAGCUUACCAUAUCUUCCAGCAGUAGAGAGGCCACUGGCAUCGGAUGUUCAGGCCUUAGUUAGCCAGUUUGUUAGAUUGGAUGUUUAUGAGCCGAGUCAAGUAUUGGCUUGUGUGGUCUCCCGGUCUUUUCUUUAUGAUCGUAUCAGGGAGCGUCGGUAUGAGGACCCCCAUCUGCUUGUCCUUAAGGAUACGGUCCAGCACGGUGAUGCUAAGGAAGUCACUAUUGGGGAUGAUGGUGCAUUGAGGAUGCAGGGUAGGCUAUGUCACACCCAAUGUAGAUGGUUUGCGUGUGCUGAUUCUCUAGAAGGCUCACAGUUUGCGGUAUUCUAUUAAUCCGAGUGCCGCAAAGAUGAAUCAGGACUUGAGACAGCAUUACUAGUGGAGGAGAAUUAAGAAGGACAUAGUGGAGUAUGUAGCUCGAUGCCUAAAUUGCCAGCAGGUGAGGUAUGAGCAUCAGCGACCAGGUGGGUUGCUUCAGAGGUUAGAGAUUCCGGAGUUGAAAUGGGAGCGGAUCACUAUGGAUUUCGUUGUUGGGCUUCCACGGACCCAAUGGAAGUUUGAUGUAGUUUGGGUGAUUGUGGACCGGCUGACCCAAUGGAAGUUUGAUGACUACCUAUUCUUCCAAGCAGUUGGCUCGAGUGUAUAUCCGUGAGAUCGUCAGGCUUCAUGACGUACCGGUAUCUAUCAUCUCUGAUCGGGGUACACAGUUUACGACACGGUUCUGGAGGGCCGUGCAGCAUGAGUUGGGUACUCGGGUGGAGUUCAGUACAACAUUUCACCCUCAGACGGAGGGACAGUUCGAGCGCACUAUUCAAAUAUUAGAGGAUAUGCUCCGUGCGUGUGUGAUGGAGUUUGGGUGUUCGUGGGAUCAGUUCUUGCCACUAGCGGAGUUUGCCUACAACAACAAUUAUCAGUCGAGCAUCCAGAUGGCAUCGUAUGAGGCUCUGUAUGGUAGGCAGUGUAUGUCUUUGGUGGGUUUGUUUGAGCCAGGCAAGGCUAGAUUAUUGGGUACAAAUUUGGUUUGGGAUGCUCUGGAGAAGGUUAAGGUGAUUCAGGAUAGACUACGCACAGCCAAGUCUAGACAGAAAAGUUAUGCGGAUUGGAAGGUUCCCGAUGUUGCAUUUAUGGUUGGAGAGCGGGUCUUGCUCCAGGUGUCACCCAUGAAGGGUGUUAUGAGGUUCGGAAAGAAGGGCGAGCUGAGCCCGAGGUUUAUCGGCCCAUUUGAGUUAUUGCGACGUGUUNNNNNNNNNNNNNNNNNNNNNNNNNAUCCGUCUCAUGUAUUGGAUUUCAGUUCAGUCCAGUUGGACAAGGAUUUAUCUUAUGUCGAGGAGCCGGUGGAAAUCUUGGAUAGGCAGGUUCGAAAGUUGAGGUCAAAGAAUAUUGCUUCUGUGAAAGUUUAAUAGAGGGGCCAGCUGGUCGAGAAGGCGACUUAGGAGACCGAGCAUGAUAUGUGCAGCCGUUAUCCUCAUCUUUUUGCCACUUCAGCUAUGUCUCUAUGCUCGUUCAAGGAUGAACGAUUGUUUUAAGAGGGGGAGGACGUAACAACCCAGCUGGUCAUUUUGAGUGUAUUAGCCCCGUCCCCCUAUAUACUAUUUUUCCCAUAUCUGUUUCUGCUUAUGUGACUUGCAGAGAGGACUUGAUUUUGGUUUCGGAGUAUUUUGGGACACUCAGUCCCUAAAACGGAAGCUUAAGUCUCAGAAUUUUGACCGUAGUCGAAAGUGUGUGAAGAAGACUCCGGAAUGGAGUUCUGUUAGCUCCGUUGGGUGAUUUUGGACUUAGGAGCAUGUCCAGACUGUGAAUUCGAGGUCUGUAGCUAAUUUAGGCUUGAAAUGGAGAAAGUCGAAUUUUUGAAAAGUUUGACCGGGGGGUUGACUUUUUGAUAUCAGGGUCGGAUUGGAAUUUCAAAAGUUGGAGUAGGUUUGUGGUGUCAUUUAUGACUUGUGUGCAAAAUUUGGGAUCAAUCGGACGUGAUUUGACAGGUUUUGGCGUCAUUUGUAGAAUUUGGAAAUUUCAAAGUUCAUUAGGCUUGAAUCCGUGUGUAAUUCGUGUUUUUGGUGUUGUUCGAAGUGAUUAGACGAUUUCACUAAGUUCAUAGCGGGUUAUAAGACUGGUUGGUAUGUUUGGUUGAGGUCUCGGGGACCUCGGGUCAAUUUCGGGUGGUUAACGGAUCAAAGUUUGAUGUUGAAGGAUAGCUGAAGUGUUGUUCCUGAUGGUGUAAUCGCUUCUGCGAGUGGGGAACCGCAGGUGCGGACACGCAGAAGCGAAGAGGAGGCUGCACAAGCGGGCAAGGCCAGGAAGGGCAGGGGCCGCAGGUGCGAGAAAGGAUGCGUAUCUGCGAGUUCGCAGAUGCGAGGAUGGGCCGCAGAUGCGUAAAAGGAAAAGUUUGGCAUUUCCGCAGAAGCGGACGAAGGACCGCUGGAGCGACUCCGCAGGUGCAAGACCUGGAGCGCAGGUGCGAGCCCAGUGUUUUUAUUGGGUUCCGUAGGUGCGGAUGCUUUUGCGCAAGAGCGGUUCUGAAGGUGCAGAAAUAGGGCCGCAAGUGUGAAAAGUCUGGGCAGAAGUUUUUAAAAGCAAGGGUUAGCGAUUUUAGUCUUAUUUCACCAUUUGAGACUCAGACUUAGGCGAUUUUGGAGAAGAUUUUCGAGGGGAUUAUUGAUGUAAGUUUCUUGUACUCAUUUUUUACCAUAAAUCUUGAUUCCCCACUGAUUUCCCCACCUAAUUAGCGAGAUUUUGAAGUGAAAUUUGGGGGUUUAGGGAUUGAGAAUUGGAGAGUAGAUUUUGGGGAUUUGGAGGACCAAAUGAUGUCGGAUUUUAAUAAAUUUAGUAUGGUUAGACUCGUGAGUGAAUGAUCUUUCGGGUUUUGUGACUUUUAUCGGAUUUCUAGACGUGGGCCCAGGGGCCGGGUUUGAGCCGAUUUCGGAUUUUGGUUUAUAAUUUCGUAUUUUUGUUGUGGAAUUGAUUCUUUUAGCCUAAAUUAAUUAUAUCAUACUGCUUGUGGCUAUAUUCGGAGCGUUUGGAGAAUGAUUCGAGGAGCAAAGGCAAUGCGGAGUAGAAUUUUGUGCGGUUUGAGGUAAAUAACGGUUUUAUAUCUGGUUAGGAGGGUAUGAAACCCCGGAUUAUUGGUUUAUGUGAGUAUUUUGGAGGUGACGCACAUGCUAGGUGACAGGCGUAUGGGCAUGCACCGUAGGAAUUAGGACUUGAUCCAUUCUGUGACACUGUAAAGUUGAAUAACUUGUUGCUAGCUAUAUGCUCUCUCUGUGUUAUAGAAAUUUUGCUGCAAAUCAUGUUAGAAAUCAUGCUUAGGCUAUGUGAUGGUAUUGUUGGGACCCGCAGAGGUCGCGUACUUGUUGAAUUACUUGCUGAUUGUUGUUUUGUACUUAGUCAUGGUUUUACUUGCGUAUCAUAUCUCAACCUCUUCAUGAUUCUUGUUGAUACACUAUGGUAUCUUUAUUUGGGCCGAUCUUUGUGAUUUUCGAGAGCCUGAGAGAUUAGAGAGGUUGAUGAUUGAGUGAAGCCGAGGGCCUGUCUGUGAGGUAUUGAUACUAUAGCACGUGAGUUGUCCGGCGGUUCCACAUAUUGAAACUAUGGCACGUGAGUUGUCCGUACGGUUCCACAUAUUGAUACUAUAGCACGUGAGUUAUCCGUGCAGCACGUGAGUUAUCCGUGCAGAUAUAGCUCUUGGACUGAAAGGAGCCCCUCCAGAGUCUGCACACCCCUAGUGAGCGUAGGUACCUAAUGAGUGUGAGCACUGACGGCUGAGAGCCGAGUGAUUGAGCUGUUGUGAUGAGUUGAUGGACUGUUGCCCUGAGAGGCUGUACUUGCUUUUUCAUUUAUUGAUUCACUUAGUUGCUAUCUGUCAUUGUCAUGAAAUUUCUGAAAGAUUCUAUAGCCGGAUUUACCUGCACUGUAUCUGUAUAAAACUAAUUUGAUUUGAACUGCCGGAUUUGAAAGCAUGUCUAUUCCUUGCUGGAAUUAUUAAAAAUGAACUGUAUUUGUAUAGCUCGCCACUACCUUCUCAGUUCCUUAUAUAUUUCUGUUACUUACUGAGUUGGUUGUACUCAUGCUACACCCUGCACUUCAUGUGCAGAUCCCGAUAUGUUUGUUCACGGAAGUCGUUGAGUUCAUGUGCAAUCGAGUACCGGAGACUACGAGGUAGCUGUCGGCG